rnacentral:rRNA from 1 species
UGGGCGCAAGCCUGACGGAGCAAGACCGCGUGGGGGAGGAAAGCCUUUGGGUUGUAAACCCCUUUUCUCAGGGAAGAAGCUCUGACGGUACCUGAGGAAUCAGCCUCGGCUAACUCCGUGCCAGCAGCCGCGGUAAUACGGAGGAGGCAAGCGUUAUCCGGAAUUAUUGGGCGUAAAGCGUCCGCAGGUGGCGAUUCAAGUCUGCUGUCAAAGCACGGGGCUUAACUCCGUUAAGGCAGUGGAAACUGAAUAGCUAGAGUGCCGUAGGGGUAGAGGGAAUUCCCGGUGUAGCGGUGAAAUGCGUAGAGAUCGGGAAGAACAUCGGUGGCGAAAGCGCUCUACUGGACGGCAACUGACACUCAGGGACGAAAGCUAGGGGAGCGAAUGGGAUUAGAUACCCCAGUAGUC